rnacentral:tRNA from 1 species
GCCAGGGUAGCUCAGCCGGUUAGAGCACGGCAUUCAUAACGCCGAGGUCGUGGGAUCGUGACCCACCCCUGGUA